UGGAAUGAGAUGAGCUUUGAGAUAAUUUCCAACCCAAACCAUUCUGGAAUUCUGUGAUAAAUCUGAGCUGCCCGUGGUGUCCUGGCUGAGGAGAUGAAAUAGUUCUGGCUGGAAUGAUGGAGCAGAGGGACAGCAGGGAAAGUUUAGGAAGGAAAAGGCACUCCUUAGCUUUUGUUUGGCUUAAUCUUGAAAUGAUUCCCCUUGUAGGAGAAAACAUCAGCUGCACAGGAAAAGCUGAAUCAUUGGUACAAAUCUGGUUACUGACAAGUGACUCCUGUGAUGGAAAAGCUGUUUGUGCAGGAGUAGAAGCCCCAAAACAGCUCCCUAUGGAACUGUGCCGGAGAGGGGAGCUGGGAGAAGGAAGCUGAAGGUGGAGGUGUUCCCCAGGAGACUUUGCAGUGCAAACCCCAGCACUCAGUCCUGUGCUGCUCACAGAGAUUCCAGGGAUAUCCAUGUGGGCACACAGAGCAUCCUGAGCUUUUAACUCUGCUAAUGAUUCCAGUUUCUGCUCCCUCUCUGCUUCUGGGGCUGCAGGCUUCCCUCUGGCAGGCAUAGCCAUGGGAUUGCCUCAAGGACAGCUCCCUGCCCUGAAUUCCCCUGGCUCACUGUGCUAAUUCUGCUCUGUUAAUCACCUUAGAGUCCAUUUAAGGUGCUUCAUGCCACUGGACAUUUAUGUGGGUCACAGCUCAGCGACACCUUUGCCCUUUCUGCAUCAGCACCUGGACAGAGGUGACUCGUCCCUUGCCUUUGGUGGCUGUCCCCUUUGCCAGGUCACCAGUGCCGUCUGGCAAUGCCAGGAGGAAGGAGGGAAGCACCAAUCCAAAUUUCCAUCAGACUGAGGGCAGUGAUAAUCAUGUCUCAGGAGAGCUGGAGCAGUGUCUGAUGGGCAAGAGAAGUUUUGCAAGCACCCCAAAAUCUUGGUAGCUCUGGCAGACACUAGUCCUUAAUAGGAGAGGGAAACUGAGUUCCAAAUCUGAUCCAUUUCACAAUGGAAUGAUGAGUAUGUGGACAAGACCUCGUGGGCUGUGUUUGAGCAGUGCCUGAACCGACUGAGUUGGGAAAACCCAAAAAAACAUUUUCUGUUGUCAGCAGUUGAACAUCACUACUUUCUCUCCUCUCCUCAUGCUGGUUUGAAAAGCCUGGCUUUACACAUUCAAAAUACACAAAAUUACUGAAACCCUGUCUCUUACUGCAGCACGUGGGACUCAUCCCUGUCCCAACACCACCACAUCCAGGAGAACUUCUCUGAAACCAUUUACUAAAUAUUUCAAUAGAGACCUUAAAAAGUGUUCCUCUCCAUUUGGAGACAUUGCAGAAAGGAAAUUGGUUCUUAACCUCUGUCCUCUGUUUUGUCUUUGAUUCAUUUGUGCAUCACGGGGCAGAGCAGGCUCAACAUCUCUUUGCUUUUCAUUCUUUAUUUUAUUUUAUGCAGACAGAAACGUUCCCAGGAAAUUGUUUGGGCUGGAAGUGAUCUCUAAAGAUCAUCCAGCUCCUGACUUGCCCAGAAGCUCCUGCUGCACCUUUCAAGCCCAGACAUUCUGUUACUGUGGAGCUGUUGAUUUUCUGCAGGGAUGUGGAAGGAGUCAUGGUGCUGGAAUGCUGCUGGAACACAGUGGCUUCACCAUUCCUUGCCCUCUAGUGCUGUUGGAUUCUAUUUCACUCACAUACCUUCACCAAAUCAAGCGUUCAGUUUUAACACUUGGUGAGCUCCAGCGUGAUGGGGAGACAAGAAUGAGCAAGGCACGGAAUUGGCAUUGGCAGCAGCACUUUGAUUUCUUGUUCACACGUUUAUUUCACAUUUUUAUUUCCCCCUCCCCAGGGUGAUGGUGAAGCACAGGCUGUGCUGCUUUGCUCCAUGUGGGGUCGUGAGCGUGGCCUAAAGGUUUGUGGACUUGCAAAGGGUGAUUAUUUCAACUCUGAAUUAUUUUUCUGGAAAUGCCAGACCAGGAAUUGACUCCAGCCGAGAAACCAACAGCAUCUUCAGCUCAGAACCCAAACCUGCAGGUUUUAUCAGGCAUGUGUAAGCAAUAAGGGAACGAAACACACAGAGAAAGUGCAAUAUGGCUCCUAUAUUUUAUAAAAAAACCCCAACUGCUGCUUAAUGAAGGCCCGGCUAAUUGAGGCCAAUUAAGUUAAUCAGGCAAGUGAACCAGCCCCACCCAUUCCGAGGAGGAUGGGUGCAAUCACAGGCAAUUACUGUGAUUAAUCCUCUCAUUGUCAUCCCCACAGGCAGCACCUGGCCAAGAAGUUGGGGAGUUACCUAACCGUGCUCAGGAGGAUGCUGCAGGCAAAGGUGGUGCUUCCAGCAGAGUUUGAAAACCCUGUUGAAAGAAGGAAGCUCACAAAUGUGGCUGCCCCAUCCCUGGAAAUGUUCAAGGUCAGCUUGGAGGGGAUAAAAACUGAACAUCUGAACACCAUGGAGCCAUUUCUCCCCAUCCUGAUGCCACACAAAUUAUGUUGUGAAGUUUCCUGAAGCCUCUAGAACUGGGCUCUUGCAGAGUAAGUAAAACGUGACUUUUUUAAAAAAGCAAUAUUGCUCAUGGAUGAAGCUAUUGAUUUGUAGCAGUUAAUUUUUGUGUAAGAGCCCCCUGUGUUUGCAUUAGGGGAGCCUGUUUAUUCUGGGAUUAAAUGAAAGCCCUAAAAACAGGGUCAUUUUCUGCUUUGAGUUCUGUGACACCUCAUUGCACCUGCUUUUGAGCAGGAUGAGUUUGCCUAUGGAGCAAUUCCUGUGGACUUUGGCAAGCUCCAGUGUUGGUUUUAGGGGACAGAUAAGGAUAACCCAGCCAUCACUUUGUCUCCUGACCCUGCCUGUGGGUUUCCUAUGUCUGCCCCUCCACCUGAUGGGACAGGUUUCAGUGGGUUUGUUUGGCAGAACCAGCUCUGUUAAAGUCUCUGGGCUGACCUCAAAACAGUUUUGACCUAAAAAUCCACUGCUGGUGUCGACCCAAAACCCACCAAACAUCAGAUGGAGCUGUGGAUUGGAAAAGCUGCUGCAAGGUGCUCACCACACCCCAGGAAGAUCCAUGAAUGGGCACAAAAUGGACUUUAACAAAACUGUAAAAUGCUUCUGUGAAGUUUUCACAACAAUUUUGUUCUCAGCUGCCUCCUCAGACAGUCUAGAGGCCAAGUUUGAGUGGCCAGGCAAAUCUUUGACAGGAAAAUCUCCUUUCCUAUGGUGUUUGCUCCCAGGAUGAGGGGAAGCAGCAGCACUGAUCCUGAGAUUGUGAAAGCUAAUAAAGAAAUUCAUCUGUGCAACUAAAAUCAAAGGCAUCAGAGUAAUUCCACUCAUUCCACCACGUGAAGUGGAGAAAGGACUUUCCACACUCACAGGCUAACAGCUCCUCCAUAAAAAGCCCCAGGAAUACCAAGGGAAGCCAUAAUAAGCAAGCCUGAUCCCAGGUCCUUUUUUAGUUUGCUCCCACAGUGUUCUUGGCUUGGCAUCUGAUUUUGAACUGCUAGAAAGUAACAGUUACAAGGCUAAAUCUGAAAUUGGAGUUUGAAUCACCCUUUAUUUCAAAUCCUACCCUGACUCUUUACAAUUCUGAACAUGUUUUUGAUCCCAGAGCAAAACCUGGCUGGUGACAUUCCCACCACAGAAAUGCCCUGACUUGCUUGGUUGGCCAUGCCACCUGCUCGUAGGUUUGUAUGGCAGAAAGCACUCCAAAAGAAACAAAUUCCUGAGCACCAGUGACUCUGGGAAAAAAACCACAUAAAGCAUUUGUAUGGUCAACAAAUAGUUAUGAUUUUAUUGAGUGGUAGAAUACACAAGGAAAAAAAAUGUUCUUUUUGAGUUACUGGAUUUUUAAUUUUUUUUUUUAAGAAUUAAAAAAAACCAGGAGCUGUCCUAUGAGGAA